UAGGGAAUCUUCGGCAAUGGACGAAAGUCUGACCGAGCAACGCCGCGUGAGUGAAGAAGGUUUUCGGAUCGUAAAACUCUGUUGUUAGAGAAGAACAAGGACGUUAGUAACUGAACGUCCCCUGACGGUAUCUAACCAGAAAGCCACGGCUAACUACGUGCCAGCAGCCGCGGUAAUACGUAGGUGGCAAGCGUUGUCCGGAUUUAUUGGGCGUAAAGCGAGCGCAGGCGGUUUCUUAAGUCUGAUGUGAAAGCCCCCGGCUCAACCGUGGAGGGUCAUUGGAAACUGGGAGUCUUGAGUGCAGAAGAGGAGAGUGGAAUUCCAUGUGUAGCGGUGAAAUGCGUAGAUAUAUGGAGGAACACCAGUGGCGAAGGCGGCUCUCUGGUCUGUAACUGACGCUGAGGCUCGAAAGCGUGGGGAGCAAACAGG
rnacentral:rRNA from 1 species